UCAGGCUUCUCAGUGAGCUGCCAGAAGGUGGGCAGAAGGACAGCCCACCUGCUCAGGGGCCCCAGACCCACCUUUGCCUUCAUCAUCCUGCACGGUGAAGCUGUCCUCAGACUGUGUGCAUUUCCUCUGUGUGAUCUAAUUGUCCAGGCUAUCCAGUUUCUGUCUUUAAAAAAAAAAAAUUAUUUGGGCCGUCCAGAGUCAGUAUGCCAAAGGAAUACAGCUAAAUGUGCUCCAUCCAUUCUUUCCCAGACUCCCAGUAUCCUGAGUGGUCUGAGUCACAUAGUCCUGAACCAGCCCUCUCUGCAAUGAGAACAGACCCAGGCUUUGGAGCCAGGCAAAUGUGGGUUGUUGGCUCUGCCAUAUAGCGGCUGGGGAACUUUAGGCUUCAGCCCCGGGCUCCCGUGUGCGUCUGUGUGCAUGUUUCUGCUGCGAGCUGCUGCCCAGAGGGGCCGGCGGGCCACGUCACAGCCUCUUGGGCUCAGUGCUGAAGGCCGAGCGCCUGACUCAUCCAGCCCUGAGCCUGCAGAGCAGCUGGCCGGCUGCCUGGGCCCGUCCCUGGGCCGCCUCUGAUGGCCUUUCCAGCCCCUCUUUACAGGCACCCCAGCCUCAGAGGGAGAGGAUCCCAAGCAAAGGAGGCGACACAGUGUUAUCCCUUGAAGCUAUAAGCACUUCUGUCUCCCAAAUGGGCUGGGUGCUGCUCUAGGUGGUGAAGACCGAGCAGUUAACAAAGCCCGCUGGAGAAGCUGCCCUUCAGGAGUUCACAUCUUAGCACGUGAAUGAAUGAGCUUAGCCAGCUGUUGGAGAAAUCCAGCCCUAAGCUGAUCUGGCCCCACUGGACACCCCGUCAUCCGUGUCCUGCAGUCCCUGCUGCUGUCUCCUCCCCCAACCUGGUCCGACCUUCUGAUCCUGCUCAUCUUGGGAGUCGGCCUGGAUGCAGAACGUGGGCCUCUUCGACCCUCUAAGCCCCCACCACGGCCUCCUGGAGGCACAGAAGACCUCCCUAAGGCCCUCCCGGCCAUGCGAGACAGAGCCACAGCACCAUGAUUUUUGUCUGGAGAAAUGAGCUUUCCCUCAGUCGUGGUGGGGUUGUCAAUCCAGCUGCCUGCCUGUGAUGGACACAUCAAGGUGGCUUCUCAGAGCGCCUUUCUCUUGAGUACGCGUGAGAUCAGCCGUGUGGAUUUGUCCCAAUGGGCUUGUUGAUAGGAUUCUGGUACUCACAUCCCAAGUGGCCCUGGUUCCUGUCCUUUUCCUGCUUGAUUAUUCAGUUCUUUCUCCUAUGCUGGGAACCACUCUGUAUUCUCCAAUACACU
ensembl:lncRNA